GGCUUCGUAACUCAGCUGGUAGAGCGUUUACCGCCUCUAGAUAGGCUGUUUCUGGUGUUGGUUUGAAUCCAUCCGAAGCCC